rnacentral:rRNA from 1 species
GCUGGCGGCAGGCCUAACACAUGCAAGUCGAGCGGUAGAGAGAAGCUUGCUUCUCUUGAGAGCGGCGGACGGGUGAGUAAAGCCUAGGAAUCUGCCUGGUAGUGGGGGAUAACGUUCGGAAACGGACGCUAAUACCGCAUACGUCCUACGGGAGAAAGCAGGGGACCUUCGGGCCUUGCGCUAUCAGAUGAGCCUAGGUCGGAUUAGCUAGUUGGUGAGGUAAUGGCUCACCAAGGCGACGAUCCGUAACUGGUCUGAGAGGAUGAUCAGUCACACUGGAACUGAGACACGGUCCAGACUCCUACGGGAGGCAGCAGUGGGGAAUAUUGGACAAUGGGCGAAAGCCUGAUCCAGCCAUGCCGCGUGUGUGAAGAAGGUCUUCGGAUUGUAAAGCACUUUAAGUUGGGAGGAAGGGCAUUAACCUAAUACGUUAGUGUUUUGACGUUACCGACAGAAUAAGCACCGGCUAACUCUGUGCCAGCAGCCGCGGUAAUACAGAGGGUGCAAGCGUUAAUCGGAAUUACUGGGCGUAAAGCGCGCGUAGGUGGUUUGUUAAGUUGGAUGUGAAAUCCCCGGGCUCAACCUGGGAACUGCAUUCAAAACUGACUGACUAGAGUAUGGUAGAGGGUGGUGGAAUUUCCUGUGUAGCGGUGAAAUGCGUAGAUAUAGGAAGGACACCAGUGGCGAAGGCCGACCACCUGGACUAAUACUGACACUGAGGUGCGAAAGCGUGGGGAGCAAACAGGAUUAGAUACCCUGGUAGUCACGCCGUAACGAUGUCACUAG